CCAAACCAGACCCACCCAAAUCCCAAAAUUCUGAAAUUAGGGGCGGCGACAGUGACAAGAUAUAACACCAGAAAGUGUUUGCACGUACAAUCGGUAAAAGGGCAAUUCUGCACGCAACCAAAACACUAAAAUCUUCAACGGGGUUACGAUUCUAUAUGCAAUACGGUCACAGUUUGUGAAAUCGGCAACUCUUAUUGCUCCGAUUUCAUUCACCAUGGAAAUUGAUUCACCAUCUGAAUCUGAUGCACCUAUUUUGUCCCCAAAAGAUCGUAUACUCAAGAGGCUAGCCUUAAUAGAUGUUCCUGAAGAGUGUCUUAAGCAUAUGCAGCCUGGGAUUAUUACAUAUGUUAAAAAUGUUAAAAGAAACAGUUCGAGAUUAGAAGAAGUUUUUAAUGCGAUUUUACCAACGGACGAUGAAAUCCAGACCGCCAUUGAAGCAGAGGCAGACCCUAGCAUUGAUGAUUUACUACAAGAAAGCAUGGUCUGGCUGCAGUGGUUGAUGUUUGAUGGUGAUCCUGUUGACGUGCUACAACGACUGGAGUCGAUGAAUGUCGGGCAGCGUGGCGUUUGCGGAUACGUGUGGGGAUACAAUGAUAUAGCGUAUCGUUGUAGAACGUGUGAAAAUGAUCCCACAUGUGCGAUUUGCGUACCGUGUUUUGCAGAGGGUGACCAUAAGGAUCAUGAUUACUCGGUUAUAUAUACGGGUGGUGGAUGCUGUGACUGUGGUGAUGAGACGGCGUGGAAACGUAGUGGAUUUUGUUCUAAACAUAAAGGAGCAGAACAGAUGCAACCGCUUCAAGAAGAUGUUGCUAACACUUUACGCCCUGUUUUGGAUUAUCUUUUUCAUCGUUGGAAGAACAGUUUAUUACUUGCAGAGUGUAACCAUCAAAACGGUCUGUUUCCCGAUGAUAAUGCUGCAGAAGCGGAAACGGUUGCAGACGUGCUGACAUCAGCAGUGGUGGGGAUGCUUUUGGACUUCUGUAACCGCAGCGAAAGCUUGCUAAGUUUUGUUUCCGGAAGAUUAUGCUACGAGGUCGAUCUGUUGGAUGUUCUUGUACGGGCAGAGACAUUUUUGUGCUUCGAUGUUGUCCCGAAGCUUCAAGAAUUACCAUUGAAAUUGAUAAGUGAUCCGUUUUUCAAAUAUGAGUUUGCAAAGGCUUUUAUAAAGUAUUAUCCCACAGUUGUAGAUGAAGUUUUGAAAGAGAGUACAGAUGUUGUUUAUAAAAAGCGUCCGCUACUAUCGUCAUUUUCGGUUCAAAUUUUCACUGUUCCUACUUUGACCCCACGUCUCGUUAAGGAAAUGGAUCUUUUAACCGUGCUUUUGGAGUGUUUGAGCAAAAUAUUCAUUUCUUGUUCUGGACAGGAUCAUCAACUACAGGUUUCCAAGUGGGAAAAUCUGCUUGAAACAACGCAGCGUGUCGUUGAAGAUAUCCGAUUUGUCAUGAGCCAAACAACGAUACCUGAAUACGUGACAAGUUCGAGGCGUGACAUAUGUAGAACAUGGGUGAAACUAUUGGCUUUUGUGCAAGGAAUGAACCCUCAAAAAAGAGAAACAAAUAUUCAUAUUGAAGAAAAUGAAAAUAUUAAUUUACCUUUUGUUUUAGGGCAUUCUAUCGCAAAUAUUCAUGCUUUGUUAGUAGCUGGUGUGUUUUCCACCGAAGAUGAAUCCGUUUCCACUAUGAAUAAGCCGGAUAUCGAUGAACUGGAAUCUUUACGGCAUGUAAAAGUUGGUAAACUAUCACAAGAAAGCUCGGUUUCUAGUGUGACCGCAAGGGGCACUUCGUUCGAUAGUGAAACGAAGGUUAUUGAACGGGACGCUGAUAGUGUUUCUGUUUCUGUUUUGACUUCGGUUUCAUGGUUAAUCUUCGAGUGUUUACGGUCCAUUGAAUACUGGUUGAAAUCUAACAAUGCAUCAGGAGGUAGUAAUGCUUCUGGUAGUAAUUUCGUUCCGUUAAAAAGAAAACUAUCUAAGUUAAGAACGAGAAAAACUAUUUCUGCAGGUUUGGAUUAUACAAAUGAAUUUGAGGUUUUGAGUUCGGCAGAUUGGUCGGAAAUCGAAUACGACGUUAGUUCACAAGACGUAUCAAUACACAUCCCGUUGCAUCGUUUGCUCGCAUUGGUUUUACAACGAGCGUUGAAGAGGUGUUAUAGUGAAUCUGAAUCAUCCACUGACUCAUCAACCGAAUGUGUUGAUUUUUUUGGCCGUGUGUUAGGUGGCUGCCACCCGUACGGAUUCUCUGGUUUUAUAAUGGAACAUCCUCUGCGUAUCAGGGUUUUCUGUAGUGAAGUUCGAGCGGGGAUGUGGCGGAAGAACGGUGACGAUGCAUUGUUAUCGUAUGAGUGGUAUCGUUCGGUUCGCUGGUCUGAGCAUGGUUCGGAACUUGAUUUAUUUCUUCUACAGUGUUGUGCUGCAUUAGCUCCAGCCGAUCUUUAUAUUACUAGAAUCGUAAAAAGAUUUGGUCUAGAAACUUAUCUUUCUUUGAAUAUGGAAAGAGCUAACGAGUAUGAACCCGUUUUGAUGCAGGAGAUGCUAAAUCUUAUCAUACAAAUAGUGAAAGAAAGACGAUUUUGUGGAUUAACGACAACUGAAUGUUUGCAGCGUGAGUUAAUUUUUAAGUUAUCCACCGGAAAUGUUACUCGCAGUCAAUUGGUCAAAUCCCUUCCUCGUGACCUUUCUAAAGUAAACCAACUUCAACAAGUUCUGGAUACCGUUGCUGAGUACUUGCAUCCAUCUGGAACGAAACAGGGUAUGUACCAAUUACGUGUACAAUACUGGAAAGAACUAGAUUUGUACCAUCCUCGUUGGAAUUCACGUGACUUACAAGUUGCAGAAGAAAGAUACAUGCGCUUUUGUAACGUUUCUGCGUCGACCAAUCAGCUUCCAAAGUGGUCAAAGAUUUACCCGCCUCUUAACGGGUUAGCUAAAGUCGCUACAUGUAAAACAGUUCUACAAAUCAUUCGCGCUGUUCUCUUUUACGCACUUUUUACCGACAAGUCGAUGGAAUCACGUGCUCCCGACGGUGUUCUCGUAACAUCUUUACACUUGCUAUCGUUAGCUUUGGACAUUUCUCAAUCGCAGAUCCAAUGCGGUGGUGCGGAUGAUUCUAUUCCUCUUUUAGCCUUUGCGGUUGAAGAAGUAUCUACGGGGAUUAAUGAUGGAUACGACAAUCAAAGCUUAUUGUCACUUCUUUUCUCGUUAAUGAAGAUAAAUAAAAAAGAAAAUGUGUAUAAUGUUGUGGAAUCUGGUGGGUUUGACCUUGCUUCGUUUAUCAACAAUCUUCUUCAGAAAUUUGCUGAGCUGGAUUCUGGAUGUUCAAAAAAGUUGCAAAUAUUAGCGCCUGAAGUUGUUAAUGUGCUAUCUCGUUCUAAGCCUAGUAGUGAUACUAAUAACAGUGCGUCCAUGUCUGACAGUGAUAAACGGAAGGCUAAGGCACGUGAGAGACAAGCUGCAAUAAUGGAAAAAAUGAAGACGCAACAGUCAAAAUUCAUGGAGAGUAUAAAUUUAACCGCAGAGAGUGGCUUAAAUGAUUCCGGUGAUACCGAAGAAAGUAUUUCCGACGCUGCAAAUGAUUCAGAUGGACAUGAGCAACCAAUAUGUUCUCUUUGUCAUGAUGCCAAUUCCAAGUCACCCGUGUCUUUUUUAAUUCUUCUACGGAAAUCCAAGGUUGCAAGUUUGCUCGAUAAACGUUCCCCAUCAUGGGAAAACGAAGUUCAAAGGUCUGGGAAGGAGCAAGUUUCGGUUAAUAAUGACACGAUGAAUAAUCGACCGUCAAGCAGUGUGGAAACGAUAACAUCGUCCCAGUUAACGGAUUUGGUUCAAAAUGCAAUUAAUGAAUUUGCUUCCACCGGUCUGGCACACGAGGUUGAUGCGUUUUUGGACUUUAUAAAAGUACAUUACCCGUCUCUGGAAAAUUUACAUUUUCCUCGAUCACAUGAUAAUAGCAGUCAGACGGUCGUAUCUUUCGGUGAUGCAUUUGAAGAAAAUAUGUACACGCGUAUUGUGCGUGUUAUGGACAAUGAUUUGAUAAAGGCCGAGGAUUCGUCAAAUGAAUCUCUCUUGCUUGGAAAAUACAUUGCUUCUUUAUCUAAUGAAAUAGUGAAUAUUACAUCACCGUCAGAAACCGGCAGGUCUCGUAGUAACGCAAUGAAAAGUUCAGUGACAUACGAUGGUUUUGGACUGUCGGAUUGCGAUGGAUUUUAUGUUUCUUCUUGCGGGCAUGCUGUGCAUCAGGGUUGCCUUGAUCGUUAUCUACGGUCAUUGAAGGAAAGAUAUACUAGAAGAAUGGAUUUUGAAGGAGGUCACAUCGUGGACCCAGAUCAGGGGGAGUUCUUAUGUCCCGUUUGUCGAGGACUUUCAAAUUCGGUGUUACCUGAUUUACCGAAAGAAGAAACAAAGGACAUCCGGCAAUCAAAAAGUCAAAAUCCGUUCCCGUUAGAUGCUAAUGAUGUUUCUUAUCUUCGACAAUCACUUUCUCUUUUGGAAGCUGCAGCGGAUGUUUCUAGAACGAAUGAAUUUCUAAAGGCUUUUCCUGUGCAACGCAAACGAGAAACAGGCACAAAUCUUAGAUCUAUGAUUCGUUUACUACGUGAAAUGUAUUUUCCGGGAAAUGAUAAAGUUUCAGGAUCAAAUCGGUUGAGUGACUCGAUGAUCGUGUGGGACACCCUCAAAUAUUCGGUUGUAUCUACAGAAAUAGCCGCUAGAUCUGAAAAGACUUCCUUUGCUACCAAUUUUAGCAACGGUGCGUUGUAUGAAGAACUAAGAUCUUCCAAUGGGUUUGUUUUGUCGUUGUUGCUGAAAAUUUCUCAAAAAACCCGAGUCCAAAAUUCUCUUGACGUGCUCUUGAGAUUAAGGGGUAUUCAACGCUUUGCAAAGUCUAUAUGUUAUGCCGAUACUUUGAAUGAAGCGGCGAAUGACGCAAAUAGAGUUGGGGGAAAUAUGAUAAGCGUGUUGAGAAACGCUGACAUGGGCAUACAAUUCCCCGAUCUUCAAUUUUGGGCAAUGACGUCGUAUCCCAUACUUGCAUCUGAUGCUUUUUCAACUUUAAUGUGGAUCCUCUUUUGUCUUCCGGUCCCGUUUAUGUCCUCUGAGAAAGCAUUUUUUCCUCUUGUUCAUUUGUGCUAUAUUGUUUCCAUAACGCAGGCCGCAAUAACGUAUAUCGGAAGAAAUAGAUCUAUACAUGAUUUCAAUCACCAUGAUUCUCUUUUCACCGACAUUUUCAAAUUUGUGGGUGAACAUGGAUUCUUAAGUCAAUAUUUCGUUUCAAACAACAUCGACAGUUCUUGCGAUAUCAACAUGUCAGUCCGUAGGCUAAGCUUUCCGUUUCUACGAAGGUGUGCCAUUUUAUGGCAAUUAACAAACUCUUCAACUUCAGCACCAUUUAGUGGGGCCCUUGGAUCAUCCAAAACAUUUGAAGAUAAAAAGGAUUAUGCUUAUGGCACUCUUGAAGAAACUAUUGAAAUCGAAGAGUUGGAGAAGGUGUUUAAGAUUCCACCGUUGGACAACAUAGUUAACGAUGAGGUGUCACGAUCGUUGGUUAAAAAAUGGUUGCAACACAUUGCUAAGGAUUUUGACAAUAGUAGUUCUUCAAGGGUUUUGCACUUAAACCCUGUCGUCCCAAUUAAGUUGAUCGCUUUGCCUUAUCUCUACCAAGAUCUCUUGCAAAGGUACAUAAAACAGAAGUGUAUCGACUGUGGAGCUGUUCAGGAUGAACCCGCGUUAUGCUUGUUGUGUGGUAAAUUGUGCUCGCCAAGCUGGAAGACGUGCUGCAGGAAUAACAAGUGUCAAACUCAUGCAACGUCUUGUGGUGGUGGUACGGGUGUGUUUCUGUUGGUUAGGAAAACUACAAUAUUACUUCAAAGAUCUUCACGGCAGGCGCGAUGGGCAUCUCCUUACCUGGAUGCGUUUGGUGAAGAGGACAUUGGAAUGCAUAGGGGAAGGCCAUUAUAUUUGAACGAAGAACGCUAUGCAGCCUUAAGUCAUAUGGUGGCUUCUAAUGGCAUUGAACGGAGUUCAAAAGUGUUGCACCAAACAUCAAUCGGUGCUUUCUUAAUGCUUUAGAUCGGAUUCGUAGUAGAUGAGUUCUACCCAAGGUCUGUACCCACACACUGCUCUUGUAGGGGAUAGGAAGGAGGAUAUUUCGUCACGUGCUAGUUUCUUAACCUCUUUGUAUAGCCACUGUAAAUACUUAUACCCAAAAUCAUCGUGUUUGAACUAUGAAAACGAUAUUUAGUGACCGCGGGUGGUUGUAUGAGCAUUUGCCAAAUUUUGAUAUCUUUGUUCGUUUUCAACCAAAGAUGUUGAUGCUUCUAUUU